GGCGUUAGCUGAGUUCAUCAUAACGAGGUGGUUCGGCGUGACGUGAACUCUGUCCAUACCUCAGGAGAUACCCUAUGCGCCUCUCCGACCGAGGUACAUAUAUAUAUCCGGAUUCCGUGCCCCUCUAAUAGGCUGGUCCACAGAAUCCGCCUACUGCAGCAAGCUAAACCCACCAUACAAUAAAAUUUUGACAGCAUGACAGGGCUAAUAUUUUAAUACACAGCCUGCAAGGGUAAAAUAAAACAAUUCAUACAAUUCAUAAAACACAGCCCAGCCAAUCAUGCCAACACAAUAACAAUAUAACAUAAGCCAUCAAUUUCCAAUCAUAAAUUUAUAACAGACCGAUGGUCUCCAAUUACUCUAUUUUCAAAAUCUUUAUUUAAUUUCAAGACAAUUUAUAAAAUCUUUUCAUGUAAACACAUUCUGUUUGUAAAACACAAAUAUUUACCAUUUAAACUCAUUUUCAUAAAUUUUCAUUAAAACUGAUUAAAAACAUACUUUAGAUAAUUAAAAUGAUGGUAAGGUUACUCACAGUACUAGGAGUUCGAUAUACUCAUAUUCCCGGUCUUCGGGCACAAUCUCUCUACCCUUGUUAGAGGGCUCA
rnacentral:lncRNA from 1 species